ensembl:lincRNA
CUCAAAAUUCCAAAGGAAAAUUAUUUCCAAGAUAAAACUCCAAACAUCAUGAAACUAUAUGACUAAGGGAGAAAAAAGACAUUUUCAGAUAAGCAAGAUCUCAAAUAAUUUGCCUCCCAUGCAACCUUUCUCAUGAAACUACUUGAGGAUGUGCUCCAUCAAAACAAGAUAGUAAACCAAGACAUAGGAAGAUAUGAAGUACAGGAAACAGAGUCAACACAGGAAGAAGAGUAAGGAAUUUCCCUCCAGGAUGGCAAAGGAGAUCCCAGGGUGAUAGCUGCACCAGAAGUCGAGAGUACCCAGUCUAGAUUGGAGCUGUGUGAUUCAAGAGACAGACAUGUUAAAGGAUGUUUGAGCAAUACCCCUGAAGCCAUGGAAUGGUUUUGUGAAUCUGAGGACAGAAUGGCCAGGCUGCAUGGUUGGAAGGUGAUGUCUGCAGGCUUCUUCCAGGCUACCAGAAGAAAGCCUGAACUAAUUUCCUGGAGGGAAAACAAAGGCCCCACCUUGAACAAAUCCCAAGGCCAAGGGAAAUCCUUGCUUCCCACAUUUCUACAGCUGCCCCACCUCCAAGUGUGGCUCAUACCCCCACCUGUGCACCCAGUACACCUGGCUGGAUUUCACGGUGGGAGGAUGACCUUUUUCCCUGAGUAUCAAUGUUUUGGGCUCUGAAAGAUUCUCAAAGUGUCCACCAAGAAGCCCUGUCUUAUAGACCUACUGCAGGCCUGCUCUGGAUAAACUUGUGAAUGAGAUGAAAUCCAGCUUCUUUUGGCCCAUUCAGUGAUCCUUUUCCCCAGCAUUUUGUCAACUGGCUGUUGACUGCAGUUUACCUUGCUAACUGAGACCAUAUUUCCAAAGGGAAAGUACAUUAAGACAUGAGGGAUCUGUGGAGCUUGGGUACAGUGGCUUAUGCUUGUAAUCCCAGCACUUUGGGAGGCCAAGGCAGGAGGAUCGCUUGAGGCCAGAAGUUUGAGACCAGCCUAGGCAAUAUAGGGAGACCCCAUCUCUAAAAAAAAAAACUAAGACUAGCACACAACUGUAGUCCCAGCUACUCUGGAGGCUAGGAGGAAGGAG